UCCUCAGCACCCCCUCCCCACCCCGUCUCCACCUCAGGGAGGGGAGUGGUGGCUUGGGCCCCUCCUUGGAGCAAGGGAGGGCACUAAUUGGAUUGGAACACUCCAGAAACACAUCAGCCGCUCCUCCCUGGGGGAAAGGAGUGUGAGGGGGAGGCUUCAGACUGUCUUUGUGAUGGGUCUCAGCCUCACCCUCCCUGCAGCCUCGCCCUGAUUUGGUCCUCACCAGCCUCUGCCCACCCGGAACCUCCCUCGGCACCACUGCCAGCUCGGGGGGGAGGGGAGGGGGCAGACAACAACCAGAUAACCCCGCAAAGAAAUUCAGCCAUGAAGAGGGGUGAGGAAAUGGAAGCCCUGAGAAGUUUAAUGUCGUACGGGAUUGCUGCAGAGCUGGGACUUGCACCCGGGCCUCUGGGUGCUAACGUCAAUGAGCUUCACUGUGGCGUUGUACUGCAUGGAGAAGAUCCUGGAAAGGCUUGCAACAAUUUCCAAAGCGGGGAAGGAGUCCUCCUGUUAGAGCAGGUUGGAAACCACUGAGCCGGGCUGUGGAGGCAGCAUGUUAUACCCCCUCAGCAGAGACAGAGUCAUGAGACCUGAGACCCGCACAUCUUUAUUGGAGCGUCUAAUACAAACACCGAGAUGAGCCGGUCAAAACCAACCCCAUGGCGCACCACCGCUAAGUUUCCUCCAGCUUGAUCUGCAUUCCUUGGAUUGAAAGUGUAACCGACUUAGAGCAAAGUGCAGUACACUUUAAUGUACAGCUUGGUGAAUUUUUACGUACGUAGGUACCUGUGUAAUCUCCACCCGGAUCAGGAUACAGGACAUUUCCAGCACCCUGCAAGGUUCCCUCGUGCUCCCUCCUGGUCUAUUCUCCUCCCCAGAGCCCUAUGAAGAAUGUUGCAGAACAGCAUUUCCUGUAUGAUGUUCCACGGACCCAAGCCUCAAGAAGAUUCCUCAAGGGAUUUCAUAGUGAAAUAUGUUUAGGAAAUGCCAGGCUCCUCUUGAUGAUUCACAAUGUACAUUAGUAAAUUAAAGACUCUGAGAAAUUCUCCAGGAAAGAAGCCCAUUUCAGUUGGCAUAAGUCAGUACCUCCCAAACAGGUGGGGAAGGACUCUGCUCUCAAUAGCAAAAUGGCUCUGGGGUUCCGUGGGACCAGUUUGGGAAACACUGUGAUAGCCGACUCACGAAUAAAGGGCUGAGUGAAAAGCACAG